rnacentral:rRNA from 1 species
GAUGAACGCUGGCGGCGUGCCUAAUACAUGCAAGUCGAGCGAACAGACGAGGAGCUUGCUCCUCUGACGUUAGCGGCGGACGGGUGAGUAACACGUGGAUAACCUACCUAUAAGACUGGGAUAACUUCGGGAAACCGGAGCUAAUACCGGAUAAUAUAUUGAACCGCAUGGUUCAAUAGUGAAAGACGGUUUUGCUGUCACUUAUAGAUGGAUCCGCGCCGCAUUAGCUAGUUGGUAAGGUAACGGCUUACCAAGGCAACGAUGCGUAGCCGACCUGAGAGGGUGAUCGGCCACCCUGGAACUGAACCACGGUCCAGACUCCUACGGGAGGCAGCAGUAGGGAAUCUUCCGCAGUGGGCGAAAGCCUGACGGAGCAACGCCGCGUGAGUGAUGAAGGUCUUCGGAUCGUAAAACUCUGUUAUUAGGGAAGAACAAAUGUGUAAGUAACUAUGCACGUCUUGACGGUAACUAAUCAGAAAGCCACGGCUAACUACGUG